CGUGGAUUCAGACGCCGAUGCUGCUGAGGACGGACGGAGGGCGGGCCACAAAUACACACUUUUUACAACAUUUAUUUUGAAAUCCUACAGCAAAGUGAUGUUUCUGACAUUAACACACAGAGGUUGAUCUGGAGAUGACUGACAGAUCAGAGCAGAGGAAGGGGGCGGGGCCAUCCUCACCUUCAUCCUGCUUCUGCUGCACAGGAACUGCACCCAGAAACUCUGCAAAGACACGAACUGCAGCGUCAGCAACUCUCCUGACAUGAAACAGAUGUUGAGUUUUUCCCUGACGUUCCUAACGAGCCUCUGGGAGAAACUCCUGCAGCUCCGGCGCCUCCUCAUCCUGCAGAUAACCACCCCUCACAGCCCCCAGCAGGCUUUGAACCAAACCUGUACAGUUUAUGCCCCCCCACUCAGAGUUAACCUGUAAAACUACAAAGAGACCCCCCCACACCCCCCACAUCCACACCAAUUACUGUACCAGCAGCUAAUGGGAGGACGUGUCUGCCUGCAGCUCUGCAGAGCUUCUGUGAGGUUAACGACCAACAAAACCGCCGCGUCAGCUGAUUACGGCGGCUGCAGGUUCCUCUGGUAGGUUCACGUGGAAAACCUCCAGGAGCGGCGUUUCGACUCCAGAAAACGCCUCCUGCUGUUUUACCGACAGCCGAGGAUGCUGAUCCUUUAUGGCUCUCAUCAAAGCGUUUCUGCUCAUUUCCAGGUUUGUGAGGGACUUUCUGAGCUUUUCAUGCAAAAAAAAAAAAA